rnacentral:rRNA from 1 species
AUUGAACGCUGGCGGCAUGCCUUACACAUGCAAGUCGAACGGCAGCGGUCCUUCGGGUGCCGGCGAGUGGCGAACGGGUGAGUAAUGUAUCGGAACGUACCCUUCAGUGGGGGAUAACGUAGCGAAAGUUACGCUAAUACCGCAUAUUCUGUGAGCAGGAAAGCAGGGGAUCGCAAGACCUUGCGCUGAUUGAGCGGCCGAUAUCAGAUUAGCUAGUUGGUGAGGUAAAGGCUCACCAAGGCGACGAUCUGUAGCGGGUCUGAGAGGAUGAUCGGCAACACUGGAACUGAGACACGGUCCAGACUCCUACGGGAGGCAGCAGUGGGGAAUUUUGGACAAUGGGCGCAAGCCUGAUCCAGCCAUGCCGCGUGAGUGAAGAAGGCCUUCGGGUUGUAAAGCUCUUUCGGCCGGGAAGAAAUCGCAUGGGUUAAUACCCUGCGCGGAUGACGGUACCGGCAUAAGAAGCACCGGCUAACUACGUGCCAGCCGCCGCAGUAACAC